UGUCCUGCAGCCGCUGCUGAGCGCCAGCGAGUUCGUCCCUCAGCCACUGGUUCUCCUGAACGAGGCGGCGGACCUGACGGCGGACCAGAGUGAGCCAAGAUGAGACGACAGAGCCAUCAUCACCUGCACAGAGUAUUAAAAUAAACCGUUAUCUGAAAAGUCUAA